rnacentral:tRNA from 1 species
GGGGAUAGUUUAGCCUAAAACACGGAUCUUGGACAUCCGAAACUGAGAAUUCAUCCCUCAUCCCCUGA